AUAAAACGGUUGUCGUUACAAAUUUUAGAAGUCGAUUACCGCGCGACAAUGGCCGCCGGAAACUACCUACCGACGGCGGAAUUAACGGCCAGUGGCCGGCCAGUUCUCUACCCGGGCGAAAUUGAAAGCAGUCUGCUCUCUUCCGUCGACCUUUUAUCAGAAGAAAACCCUAAUUUUCCCCACCUUAAAUCUGGUCUCCUCAUUCUCACCAAUCACCGCCUCCUAUGGCUUCCCAACUCCACCCCAGCUUCAUCUCCCACCCCUGUACAUAUCCCGCUUUCCGCCGUCUCCCACAUUUUUUCACUAAAAAAGUCGAUUAAAUCUGUAUUUUCAACCCCUAGGAUAAGAUUCCAGGUCUCAGUGACUUCCGAGGGGAGAGUAGACGAAAAGGGCUUAAGAUCGAUCGUAAUUACUUUGGUCUUGAGAGGAAAAUCGGACCCAGAGGCGUUUCUUGGGAAGUUUUGGGAGGCAUUGAAGGUGAGGGCUUGGGAGGAGAUUAAGGUUGGUGCAAGUGGAGCUGAGGCGGGGUCAAGUUCGGGGCCCCGGAGUGGAGAGGGGAGCUUGGCGCUGAGGGUGCCGGUGGUUGGAGUUGCAGGGAUUUUGAGGAAGGAGCAAGAAAUGUGGGAAAGUACUGAUAAAAGUUUGCAGGAUGCAUUUCAAGACCUGAAUGCUCUCAUGAGCAAGGCUAAGGAGAUGGUUAUGCUAGCUGAGAAAAUGAGGUUAAAGCUUCUCGCUGGUUCAAAUAAUCAAGCAACUGGGGCAGCCGAAGAUGAACUGGGUACCAAAGAAGAGAUGCAAGAUUGGUUAUUAAGUGUAGGUAUUGCAUCUCCAGUUACAAAAGAGUCUGCUGGUGCUUUGUAUCAUCAACAAUUAUCACGCCAGUUGGCAGAUUUUGUUAGGAUUCCCUUAGAGAGAGCUGGAGGAACAAUUAAUCUCAUAGAUGUCUAUUGCCUUUUCAACCGGGCUCGUGGCACAGAAUUAAUAUCACCUGAUGAUUUGCUUCAAGCAUGUUCUCUGUGGGAGAAGUUUGAUGUGCCGGUGAUGCUUCGGAAAUUUGAUAGUGGUGUUAUGGUCAUCCAGAAUAAGGCUCACAGUGAUGAUGAGGUAUUUGCUCGAAUUAGAUCCUUGGUGACAAAGCCUGAUGCUUUACAGAGUGGGGUCAGUGCUAGUGAUGCUGCAAUGACUUUGGGGGUUGCCCCAGCAAUGGCAAAGGAAUAUCUGCUUACUGCUGAGGGCAAAGGAUUGUUGUGCAGAGACAUAAGCCCAGAUGGAUUUCGGUUUUAUAUUAAUCUGUUUCAGGAUAUCAAUUCAGAUGACGUAUACUUGUACUUAGGUUGAUUAAACUGAUGACAAGUUCACAUCAGCAAAGAAAGACGUUAGGCAUGUUGUUGCAAGGAUAGAUUACAAAUUGGUUGAGAUGGGUAAAUAGAGUUGCCUUAACUUAAACAGCUAUUGGACAGCAAGAUAAAUAUUUCUGUGCAAUUACUCUGGUAUAGAAUAUUGGAGAAAGAUAUUAGAGCUACGUUGAGAAAUUUCUAGACAGAAAAGUUUUUAUUUUGAUUAGAAGAUGAUGAUCAUUUUGAAGCAACAGUAUUGAUGUAAUAGAGAGAGUCAAAAGUAUUCGAGGCCGUAAGGAAAUUGGAAGUUGAAAGGCUCCAGGAUUGAGUCUGUUCUGAAUGGUUUCUGUAUGUCCUCUGGAAAAGUCAAAUUUUGAUGAGUGAGAGACUAUAGUAUUUAUGUGGCAUGGAUUAGCACUAACUCUAUUUCCAGGUGAUGCAGGAUAACCUAGGUUUCCUUGGAAAGAUUCCAAAAGGCAUACGGAAGCUGCUUCUAUUUGGGAUUUUAUCAAAUUAAGUAGCCCAUUAUGAGCGAUCAUGAGCUUCAUUGGGCGGAGUUGCUUCUACAGAGGUCAAGUACGCUCCAUUCAUCUUCUUCCUGAUGAAAAUUGGAAAACUAAAAACGUGAAAUUGGUACAGCCUACUAUUUUCUUGCUUAUUGGAAAAGUGAAAGGUGUUAUCAACUUCCAGUGAGUGUCUUUUGCAUAACUACAUCUUUCAUGCUGAGGAAGACUUGCCUCGUGAAGUGACAUAAAUGUUGUACCCGAGUGUGUGAAGUUCUCAUAUGGUUUUGCAGUUGAAAAUCACUUGAAUAAUUUCUGAAUUGAGUUGUGAAAUGUUCCUUGUCUUAUUGAUGCCAGCUUCACCAUAGUUUUAAGUUGUAUGACCUUUCACUCAAGAAAGGAGUUUGCAACAGAAAUCUUUCUGGUUCUCGAUGAUUUCAGUGGGCAUUUAAAUGUUCUCCAAUCACAGGAGUUUGAUUUU